CUGUCUAAAUGUGCAUAACGCAAACCACAUCUUGGAUAACAUUUUACCCACAGGACCCAGAUGCAGCUGAAAUUAGUGAAGGAGCGGCGCGUGAUGACUGGAUGAACAUCGUCCUGCUCCUGAACACAACAACCCUUCAACAAUUACCAUGGUAACCACAGUUCCUCCCUAAAUACCACAGCUGUUUGGACUCAUUUUGACGGCACCCAUUCACUGCAGAGGAUCCACUGGUGAGCAAGUGAUGUAAUGCUAAAUUUCUCCAAAUCUGUUCCAAUGAGUCCUCUACAUCCUGGAUUAACUGACAGUGAGUAAAUAUUAAGCAAAUCCUAAUUUUUAGGUGAAUUAUUCCAUUAAUUCAAUGCUUUACUUCUUAUUUCUUUGUAAUCAUUUGUGAAAUUUACUCGCAAUUCUUGAGUGAAAAGUGUUUUCAGUGUACUCGUUUAACAAAAACAGACCACACAGGUGUCAGUGUUGGUGUGAUCGAGGCCUUCUGUGGUUGUGCUUCAUAACCUGUUUUUUUUUUUAAGCCCCCUACAGGGUCUGUGAGUUCUGCUAUAGCCUACCCCAAAGGUGCAGGUGAGCCCAGACUGAUCUAAGAUCAGAGACGCAGCCACAGGUGAGCCCUCUUACAUGAUUCCAUGUCCUCAGGCUAUGAAGUCUGAGCCGAGCUUUGGAGGGGCAAGAGGUGUAAAGGGAUAAAUGGAAACCGAAUUCAACAGGCUGCUGCCAAGCGUGGUGUCAUCAGCCAAUGCCACACAGGCACCUUUUUCUCCCUGACAGAAGCUGUUCAAGGCAUUUUUUCACCUUCUUAUCUUCUUUUUUUAAUCCUUCAAGGACAGGAAGAGCUCUAAUGGGAGAAUAAAGCAUGUGACAUCUACACAUUUUUAUUUAAAAAAAUGAACAUCACUGCUUGAGACUUUUGAAAGAACCCUUUUUUUGUGGGAUUUAGCCAUCACUCUCGGUUCUGAGAGAACAACUCGUGUUAUUGACACCACAAGCACCUUUCUAACCCUUCAACACACUCAUUUGGAUGUGUGAGACCAAUCACUAUCAUUCUGCCUGAAUCCUUUAAUAUCAUUUCCGGACUUUCAUCAAGUUUUUGGCUGGUACAUUUGGUUUAGGGAAUCAGAUGGUAUUUGUUACACAAAGAGAGUUGCUCGCACAACCGGAGCUGUUAAUUAUGAUUGGUUUGUUAUUGCUCACCAGAGCAUAACAAAUCGCCAUUAUGUUGUUUUGCUGAGUCUAAUUUAAUUGUAACAAAAGUAAUUAUCCCUCAUUUAUAUUGAUGCCAUAAGCAGAAGUAAGAGAGCACCUGCUGCCAUAAGCCUGUUGUAUACUAAAAAUAACCUGGUGAAAUCUAGCCUUGUGUUCUUCAACAUAUCAUAUAUCAAAAACUUCCUCUCCUGCUGUAUAUUUGCAGAAAGAGAGUUACAUUCAGUAUGCAUUAUGUU
rnacentral:lncRNA from 1 species